AGCCCUAACCCUAACUAUCUCUUCCUGCCAUUGGCGUUGCCUCACUCCGCCAUCCUCCCACCGGUGUCGCCCUCGCAAAGCAAACAAGCAAGCAGCAACUUCUCGAAAUCUCCAGAGGGUACUGGUGCUGUGAACUCUCAAGAUUCUACUUUCAUUCGAUUCUUGAUCUGAGUCGUCUUGUUCGGUGAUCUAAUCAAAUCAAGCAGAAAUGGCAUUAGCGUUCGAUGAGUUUGGGAGACCGUUCAUAACAAUAAAGGAGCAAGAGCAGAAGACGAGGCUCAGAGGUCUCGAUGCUCAGAAAGCCAACAUUUCCGCCGGGAAAGCCGUUGCUCGCAUCCUCCGCACCUCUCUCGGCACCAAGGGUAUGGACAAGAUGCUCCAGAGCCCCGACGGCGAACUCACCAUCAGUAUGUCUAUACACAUACGUUUCAUCUUACUUUGUUUUUAACUUGUCAAAUGAUCGGCUAGGGUUUUUUAAUUUAAUACAUUUAGGGUUUUUUUGGUCCUUGAUCUAUUUGUUUUGUGUUAUCUAUUUGAAGUUUACUUAUGGAUCUAGGGCAAGGAAAGCGAAAAAGGUGUAUUAUGAUUCGUCAACUUGAGUAUUAAUUUGUUUUGGUUUUUGUUAGAGAAUAUGUUUAGGAUGCACAGUUAGGUGAAGUGUUCUACUGAGUUUUGUGGGUAUGAGUGCAAAAAUUGAAUUAAGAAAGUUUUGAUUAUUGUACAUUUUCAAUGUCAUCAAAGAUGCUUUCAAGAUCACACUGAUUGUCUGCACCUGAGGUGAGUUCUCGUUGAUUCACUCGAAUUUGUUCGAUUUUUAUCAUUCUGAUCGCUGUAAAGAGUGUAAUUUUAAUUUGUAUUUUGGCCGAUUGACGCUUAUUUUACAGUAAUUUAUAAGUUUGGAGUGUUCUUGUUAUGUUUCUUUAGGGGAAGGGGAAGAGACCCAAAAGGCAGCCAAGAGUACUACUCCGAAGCUACAAAAACUCAAUUCAAUUUCAACACUAGUCCCAUAGAAGAACCCAAUACCAACCCAAUUUUCAAAUUUGAAAGCUGGGUUCUUUAUCUCAUUUCAAUCAAUCAAUCAGUCUUCAAUGUGUGUAUAUAUAUAUACACAUGUACAGGGCAUUAGUCCAAGACUACCUCAAUACUUGGAUCUUUCAUUCUCUCUCUUUCAUCAGUUUGGCCAUGUAUUGACAGGUUGACAGCUUGAAGGAAAAACUCCUUGAAAAAGUAGAACAAGCUUGACUCUAGAGAAGUAAGCAAUGCUUCAUUGGAUCAUGAUGGACCUUUUAAAUAAGGAAUUUACCCUGACUCAGUUCCUUCUGCUACUUCUAAGGCUUCUACUCGGGAAUUUGUGGAUGUUGUCUUUGCUUAUUGGGUAAUAUUCCCUGAUUCAGAGCAGCAACUAAUCAAUCUUGCACAAGACCUUGUUACCAGGUAUGAGUUUAAAUAAUUUUUCAGGUAAAGAAGUUAAAGUGUGGUUUACACACAUCUUCACUCCUAGUGGCUUAAAAAAUUUAACUCCACUCAGCUGAUAAUAGACACCUGUUGUACUUGAUUGUGCUUUUCAUUAUGCCGAAAAUCAAAUAACAGGUUCAGUUUUUUCCCUGCUGUAUUUUUGUACAAUCACGUAACAGUAUAGCUAACCUUGAGGAUUCUCUUUCUUUGUUUGGCUCUGUGGGAUUUUGCAGUGACGCUUUGAUGGAACAAAUUAAAGCAUUGGUCUAUCGUCACCCAGACAAACUCUAUAUGGAGACAACUGGAGGUAAAAACAAGGGCUACCAUGCAGAGAUGAUUGUUGUUACUUAUUGCCGAAAUAGGAAAGACAUAUGACAAGUCAAAGUUUCGGAUCCUUCUUAUAAUUACUUGUCUUCCAGAGUUUUGGGCAGCAUGGAAGGGAGCUCAUUACAUCUGAGCUUGCAUUAAGGAUACUCUCCAUCUUGAGUGGAGAGCAAUUUCCACCCAACAUGGAUCCAAUUUCUUUAAACGACACGUUUGAGAGGCUUGUGAUAAAGAUGCUAUCCUUUUGAGUACGUGAUGAUAUCUUCGCAUAUCGAUAUUGGAGCUCACUAUUGAUACUAAAACAAGCAAUAAUAUAUAUGUUUUUUUUUUUGUAUUGUCGAUAUUUUUGUUUUGUUUUAGAUACAAAUUUGAGUUCUUGAAUUAUCAAAAAUUAUUAGUAUUGUUUAAGGAUGUUUUAUAUAUUUUUGUAAGGAAUGUUUGGUUGACACUGUAUUGCUACAUGGUACUUAUAUAUUAUUAUUCGUAUAUAUGAUUUUGUGAA